UGAGGGUCACCAGUAAGUGACCACGAUUUAAUGAAGUGGCGCUCCCUCUGAUUAGGAAGAAGUGGGCCUGGCAUCUUCUACAGCAUAAAUACCGUGUUUCUGAGCAUGCCAAGCCAAUGUGAGCUGGCAGUGGACAGCAGAGGACAUUCCACUGAAAUCGGGCCAUCGGGAGCUGAAGACAAAGGCAGCUGAUUCAAGUGCACCAAAUUGGAGUUUCUCUAAUCAAAUAUAUUAA
rnacentral:lncRNA from 1 species